UCCAAUCAUAAGAUGCCACGUGCUACUAAAAAUAUAUGGGAGGGUGUUUUGAUAAAAAUAUAACGGUGGAGACAUAUUUGAAAAAAAAUCCAAACAAAGGAUAAAUAUGGCCUAUUUUUAAUAGUAUAAGGAUAUAUUUGACCCUUAAUCAUAAUUUAAAUAUUUGCGAGAGUGUUUUAACGGCUGAGGGAUAUAUAUGGCCCUAAUGUAUAACGGUGGGGACAUAUGUAAAGAACUCAAACGGAGGAUAAAUAUGACCUAUUUUUAAUAGUACAAGGAUAUAUUUGACCCUUAACCGUUCCAUCUAUGAGGGCUAACUGAUCGUAGUUACUUUUGACCCAUUCGACAUGAUCUAACUAUGCUUCUUGUAUGACCCUCAAGGAGGGAAUUUCUACCUCGGAAAGGAUGGCCGCCUUCUAUUGUUAAUUACUUUGAUGUUAAAGCUUGGUGUUAGACAAAAGGGGUUGCUAUGAUGGUAAGCAACACCCACUUCCAACCGAGAGGUUGUGAGUUCGAGUCUCCCCAAGAGCAAGNNN
rnacentral:lncRNA from 1 species